rnacentral:rRNA from 1 species
ACGAACGCUGGCGGCGUGCCUAAUACAUGCAAGUCGAACGCUUCUUUUUCCACCGGAGCUUGCUCCACCGGAAAAAGAGGAGUGGCGAACGGGUGAGUAACACGUGGGUAACCUGCCCAUCAGAAGGGGAUAACACUUGGAAACAGGUGCUAAUACCGUAUAACAAUCGAAACCGCAUGGUUUUGAUUUGAAAGGCGCUUUCGGGUGUCGCUGAUGGAUGGACCCGCGGUGCAUUAGCUAGUUGGUGAGGUAACGGCUCACCAAGGCGACGAUGCAUAGCCGACCUGAGAGGGUGAUCGGCCACAUUGGGACUGAGACACGGCCCAAACUCCUACGGGAGGCAGCAGUAGGGAAUCUUCGGCAAUGGACGAAAGUCUGACCGAGCAACGCCGCGUGAGUGAAGAAGGUUUUCGGAUCGUAAAACUCUGUUGUUAGAGAAGAACAAGGAUGAGAGUAACUGUUCAUCCCUUGACGGUAUCUAACCAGAAAGCCACGGCUAACUACGUGCCAGCAGCCGCGGUAAUACGUAGGUGGCAAGCGUUGUCCGGAUUUAUUGGGCGUAAAGCGAGCGCAGGCGGUUUCUUAAGUCUGAUGUGAAAGCCCCCGGCUCAACAGGGGAGGGUCUUUGGAAACUGGGAGACUUGAGUGCAGAAGAGGAGAGUGGAAUUCCAUGUGUAGCGGUGAAAUGCGUAGAUAUAUGGAGGAACACCAGUGGCGAAGGCGGCUCUCUGGUCUGUAACUGACGCUGAGGCUCGAAAGCGUGGGGAGCAAACAGGAUUAGAUACCCUGGUAGUCCACGCCGUAAACGAUGAGUGCUAAGUGUUGGAGGGUUUCCGCCCUUCAGUGCUGCAGCUAACGCAUUAAGCACUCCGCCUGGGGAGUACGACCGCAAGGUUGAAACUCAAAGGAAUUGACGGGGGCCCGCACAAGCGGUGGAGCAUGUGGUUUAAUUCGAAGCAACGCGAAGAACCUUACCAGGUCUUGACAUCCUUUGACCACUCUAGAGAUAGAGCUUCCCCUUCGGGGGCAAAGUGACAGGUGGUGCAUGGUUGUCGUCAGCUCGUGUCGUGAGAUGUUGGGUUAAGUCCCGCAACGAGCGCAACCCUUAUUGUUAGUUGCCAUCAUUUAGUUGGGCACUCUAGCAAGACUGCCGGUGACAAACCGGAGGAAGGUGGGGAUGACGUCAAAUCAUCAUGCCCCUUAUGACCUGGGCUACACACGUGCUACAAUGGGAAGUACAACGAGUCGCAAAGUCGCGAGGCUAAGCUAAUCUCUUAAAGCUUCUCUCAGUUCGGAUUGUAGGCUGCAACUCGCCUACAUGAAGCCGGAAUCGCUAGUAAUCGCGGAUCAGCACGCCGCGGUGAAUACGUUCCCGGGCCUUGUACACACCGCCCGUCACACCACGAGAGUUUGUAACACCCGAAGUCGGUGAGGUAACCUUUUGGAGCCAGCCGCCUAAGGUGGGAUAGAUGAUUGGGGUG